rnacentral:rRNA from 1 species
GACGAACGCUGGCGGCGUGCUUAACACAUGCAAGUCGAACGGAAAGGCCCUGCUCUUGUGGGGUGCUCGAGUGGCGAACGGGUGAGUAACACGUGAGUAACCUGCCCUUGACUUUGGGAUAACUUCAGGAAACUGGGGCUAAUACCGGAUAGGAGCUCCUGCUGCAUGGUGGGGGUUGGAAAGUUUCGGCGGUUGGGGAUGGACUCGCGGCUUAUCAGCUUGUUGGUGGGGUAGUGGCUUACCAAGGCUUUGACGGGUAGCCGGCCUGAGAGGGUGACCGGCCACAUUGGGACUGAGCUACGGCCCAGACUCCUACGGGAGGCAGCAGUGGGGAAUAUUGCACAAUGGGCGGAAGCCUGAUGCAGCAACGCCGCGUGCGGGAUGACGGCCUUCGGGUUGUAAACCGCUUUCGCCUGUGACGAAGCGUGAGUGACGGUAAUGGGUAAAGAAGCACCGGCUAACUACGUG